rnacentral:rRNA from 1 species
UACGAAGGGGGCUAGCGUUGCUCGGAAUCACUGGGCGUAAAGGGCGCGUAGGCGGCGUUUUUAAGUCGGGGGUGAAAGCCUGGUGGCUCAACCACAGAAUGGCCUUCGAUACUGGGACGUUGAGUAUGGUAGAGGUUGGUGGAACUGCGAGUGUAGAGGUGAAAUUCGUAGAUAUUCGCAAGAACACCGGUGGCGAAGGCGGCCAACUAGACCAUUACUGACGCUGAGGCGCGAAAGCGUGGGGAG